UACGUAGGCAGCAAGCGUUGUUCGGAAUUACUGGGCGUAAAGAGUGUGUAGGCGGUGCUCUAAGUUCGGUGUGAAAUCUCCCGGCUUAACUGGGAGGGUGCGCCGGAAACUGGAGUGCUCGAGCGUGGGAGAGGAAAGCGGAAUUCCUGGUGUAGCGGUGAAAUGCGUAGAUAUCAGGAGGAACACCUGCGGUGUAGACGGCUUUCUGGGCCGAUACUGACGCUGAGACACGAAAGCGUGGGUAGCAAACAGG
rnacentral:rRNA from 1 species